CGGAUUUCUGGAAGGAAGGGGUGGAGAAAGGUGGCAAAACACUCUCUCUAGCAAGCCAGCUGCGCCCCUUUUCAGGUCCCUGGCUCAGAGCCCUGUUUAACUCAGCUACAUUCAAUGCAACCAAAUAUGUUCCAUGGCUCCCUAUGUCACACACACCAGAUACGGGGCAGGAGAGGGUGUCCUUCACCUCAGCAGCUCACAGUUUUGUGGGGGAGACAGCAGGCUGGGCAGACAAGGCUAACGGGAGGCGGCUGAUAAGGAUGGUUAAUCAAGUUACAAAACCAAGUGUCCCUGUGCCUGGGGAGGGGGCAGCUGGCGAACAAAGGGAGAGCUCUGCAGUCUAACCAGCUCUGUUCAAAUCCACGCUCUGACCUCAGUGGCUUCCCCCAUUCCUUCCUUCUCGCCUGGACUGAAUCUGACACCUUAGAGAGGGCACGGUUUGUCCUUCUGCCUAUCGAUUCCGAAAAAGAGAGCAGCUCCCCAGUGCCAGGGCCCAGACAACCUGCCAGGCCAUCCCACUGGAUGGUCGACUCCUCUAUGCAGGGGUAGGAUCCCCUGUCACUAUCCUUGCCUUCAGCGCAAGGAAUGGGGCCUGGCACAUACCUGUUGAAUGAAUGAGGCAAUGGAAGAAUCCUAGAAGCCCAGAAGCUUUGCUAUCACAUCAUCAGCAGGUUCAGCAAUGAGUCAUGAGUCAUCCCCUGACCUGGCGGAGCCCUUACGCCAGCUGCUGGGGGGCAACUUGUGUGCAGAGAGUUAAGAGAAACUGGUCCAAAGUCACAGGUCUGGGAAGGGGCAGAACCAGGAUUUGAACCCAGGCCUAUGGACUCCUGAGCCUGAGUGGCAGGUCUGUCGGUGAGGCCUCAGCCAGGCCAUCGACCUCUCUCAGGGUGCCUGUCCUUCCAUCUCUGAAAGGGCUGCCGGUCCUCUGGGAAGGCUAGGAACACGAGGCUGGAAACCCAUAGAGCCCUUCCCCGCCGCCUGCCAGCCACCCUCCGGAGCUGCAGCAGAAGCUAUAAAAAGCACAGCCGUUCAACAAUAGGUGACAUCACCCAGCGGCGGAAAGAACUGGAUUCUGCCAGAUGCCAGGGAGAGUUAUGGCCCCUAUCUCUCCCUCAGGACGGGAGCCCCUCGGGAAAGGGCCUGGCGAGUGGCGCCCUUCUGCUGGUGAUGUUUCCGGAGCGGCACAGAGACCAGCAGGCAUAGUGCCGGGCACAGACCUCCUUUCCCCCUCACAGCGGCUGCCAGAGGCACGGAUCACUCUUGCUGUUACCCAGAGGAGCAAAGCUGAGGCUCAGAGAGGGCACCGUCAUGCGCCGUUGCAGCCUGCUUCUAUUUGUCCGUGAGCAACUGAGGACAGUACCUGUCUCUUGUCUCUGAUUGUCCAGCUCCUUACAAGCCUGGCACGCACUAUAUGCUAGGUAUAUAACCUGAAAGACAUCCUUCAAAGGGAAUUGAUUCCACAAAAGAUGGAGGGUGGGGGGGAGGGAAGGGAAGGGAAGUCCGUUUAAUGAAGGGAAGGAAAAUGACAGGCAGAAGCUGUGUUUCCAUCCCCAGGCUUUUUAAUGCUAGAUUUUUGGGGCAUCGGAGGAAAUAGGAAGGAUCUUCCCAGUCACCGCCCAUUGGCUAAGAGUGGUUAGGUCCUCGGAGGCACCUUAGGCAGGUCAUACCUCCCUGCUUUGGGUUCCUCCACUGAAUAACGAAGAAGAGAGUCCUUUUUUGUAAAGCCUCUGCUCGCGUGCCCUCUGCCUCACCAGUACGGUGGGGUUAUUUCAGAACAUGUGUCCUGCUAUGACCUCUCCCCACCCGCUUCCUGUCCGAAUCGCCAUCGGCUCAUUUCCAGAUCAGCUGGGUUUUUUGUGACCCGGCAACGGUGAGACGGGUAGAGAAAAGACAGACCCAAGAGAGAGUGGCAAUGGUGGAGAAAGAGAGAGAGGAAAACAGCACCCGAGGGGUACUCAGGAGAGCUCCACUGACAUUGUGCAUUGUGGGAAAAUUACAGAAUGGACGAAAAGGGUCUGGGGUGUACCAACACCAGCCACAAAUGGUCCCCUUUGCCAUUUUAUGGGGGGAUGCAGUUAGAGCUGGAAAGCCUAUUUCAAUGACUUUUGGGCUGUCGGACUAUUUCUUUAAAACGAGACUCUAAGCAGAGACUGAGCCACAUGUGACCACGGCUUUGGUCAGGGUUACACAUGAUCUUCUUUUGGCUCUCACACACCCUGUGAUUCAGGUAUGAGGACCCUCAGGCCCAGAGAGCUUAAGCAACUCACACGAGUUUACCCGGCUGAAGGCCAAUCAGGGGUUCCUGCCGAGGGGUAACCCUCAAGGCUAAGCUUUUCGAAGCCCACUCUACUCAUUUUGGCCGACUCCCCUCGUGCAGUCUGACCUCUAAGGGCAGACAGGCACUGCGCUCUCUGCUCCCACAGCUCACACCCCCCUCUGACAGAGCCGUCCCUUACAUCUGAUCCCAAAGGCUGCAUCUGAGCGGUCCCCGAGCAAAUCUUCUGCAUUAAGCUUUUGGCACCCGGCCCAGCCCAGCCCAGGCAAAUCUGAGGGGCACCGAAUCGGUCGAUAGGUGGCCAUCAGCUAAAAGCAGCUUCUGGCCAGCAGCCUGUGCGGGUGAUGCACCGGACGGACAGGUUAAGCGGCAUCACCGGAGUCCACUGAGAAUGGGGCGAGGUCAGAGCCCUGCACUGGGAAAGGAAUUCGUCUUUUUAAAGCUGAGAAUGAUCCUGAUGUAAUGUAUACCCCAGGUGGACCUCGCCUUACACAAUGGACACAUUCCCCAGUGGGGUGGGGAAUUACGACUGUCAGGACUAAAUCACAUUGUUGCUAAUGUGAACGGUGACCCCCUAGGGUUGUGCAGUGUGUGACCUGGUUGGCUGCACAUAAUAGCAGCCCUCAAGGGAAGAUCCCCCCACUUUCGACCUGGCAACCCUGCUUUUCCUGUUUAUAUCGUAGGCUUCUACAUAACAUUUUGUUUGCAGCACGAGUUCCACUGCUAAGAAAAAAUGUCUGAAAACCAUUGUUCUAUGGAAAAAUCAAGUAAAUUAAAAAACACAAUUAUUAACCCCAGGAAGAAGGCUGUAUAAGAAAGCGAAUGUAAAUCAUAGUGAUAAUGAUUUAUGUACAACAUUUACAUAGUUGUAAUAAUAUAAAUCCUGAAUAUUUAUUUAAACAAGAGUUACACUAUAACAUACUGGGGGCACAGAGGUAGGGAGAGUGCGUGUGCGUGUGCGUGUGCGUGUGUGUGUGUGUGUGUGUGUGUGUGUGUAGUAAGAGGGGAGACUGAGCUGGAAGAGAGCCAGAUCCUCAAAUUCCAUAAUAGGAAGUCAACACACAAUGUCUAAGAUUUAAAAAAAUCCAGACAAGGCAGUGAAAGCAUAUAAUUAAGAAAUACGGGGAUAAGUGCAAAAAGAAACAGCUAAAAGCAAGGAACAGAGUUCCCCUCGGGGUGUGUAGCAAAGGGGGAGAGGGAUUGGUUACAGGCAGUCGUGUGCUGGUAACUGUUUAACUGGUUCUCCGAGGGAAAAAGGCCCUGGUUUGGAGCAUUUGCCAAUCCCAGUGGCAAAAAUAUUCCCACUACGCUAAUUGUAAUCUACCAGGGUGACGUCACCAAAAAUAGAGUCGGAAAAGCCUCACAACAGACCCAUUACGUAAGCUUUCUACCAUGUGCUGUAAUAGACACAAGUCUCCUCAAGAGCACAGAGAGUGGUAAAGUAACCAGGGAGUAAUGAGUUAUUAACAUUCAAUACCUCUGUUUCUGAUAUAAUUUAUUUAAUUGCAAGUUUGCAUAACUUGGUUUUUAAUAACGGCCAUGUUGACCAAUCGGUGUGGCAAAGGGCUCUCACAAGCCGAUACAAGCCACUUGUACCCUAGACCUCAAAGUAGCCCUGGGCUUUAUGAACUCUGGAGAGUUAUCACUCCGAUGGACAUAAAAAUUAAAGCCCAAAUAAAUAAAAUGCACACACUAGGCGUUCUAAAGGAA